GUCCCGAUAGUUCAAUGGAUAGAGCAUCAGUCUUCGGAACUGAUAAUGGGGGUUCGAGUCCCUCUCGGGGCA
rnacentral:tRNA from 1 species